rnacentral:rRNA from 1 species
UAGGGAAUAUUGGACAAUGGGGGCAACCCUGAUCCAGCCAUGCCGCGUGAGUGAAGAAGGCCCUCGGGUUGUAAAGCUCUUUUGUCCGGAAAGAAAAGCAUUCGGUGAAUACCCGGAUGUUCUGACGGUACCGGAAGAAUAAGCACCGGCUAACUUCGUGCCAGCAGCCGCGGUAAUACGAGGGGUGCAAGCGUUACUCGGAAUUACUGGGCGUAAAGCGUGCGUAGGUGGUUGUUUAAGUCUGAUGUGAAAGCCCUGGGCUCAACCUGGGAAUGGCAUUGGAAACUGGGCAGCUAGAGUGCGGUAGAGGGUAGUGGAAUUCCCGGUGUAGCAGUGAAAUGCGUAGAGAUCGGGAGGAACAUCUGUGGCGAAGGCGACUGCCUGGACCAGCACUGACACUGAGGCACGAAAGCGUGGGGAGCAAACA